GCCUGGCUAGCUCAGUCGGUAGAGCAUGAGACUCUUAAUUUCAGAGUCGUGGGUUUAAGCCCCACGCUGGGCG